rnacentral:misc_RNA from 1 species
UUUCCGUAGGUGAACCUGCGGAAGGAUCAUUAUUGAAUUUAAUGUAGAGUUGGUUGUAGCUGGCCUUAAUUAAUUUUUGGGGCAUUGUGCACACCUUCUCUUUCAUCCACACACACCUGUGCACCUGUGAGACAGCAUGGGGGAUUUUUUUUUGAAAGAAAAUUAAGAACCCUGCUGUCUACUUAAUUUACACAAACUCAAAUUAUUUUAAAACGAAUGUAAUUGAUGUAACGCAUCUAAUACUAAGUUUCAACAACGGAUCUCUUGGCUCUCGCAUCGAUGAAGAACGCAGC